rnacentral:snRNA from 1 species
GAGUUUGCUUCAGCAGCAAGUGUACUAAAAUUAAAACAAUAUAGAGAAGAUUAGCAUGAUCCCUGCACAAGUGUGACACACAAAUUUGCGAAGCAUUCUAUUUUUUU